UUACACAUGCAAGUCGAACGGCAGCACGGGAGCAAUCCUGGUGGCGAGUGGCGAACGGGUGAGUAAAGUAUCGGAACGUGCCCAGUCGUGGGGGAUAACGUAGCGAAAGUUACGCUAAUACCGCAUACGAUCUAUGGAUGAAAGCGGGGGAUCGCAAGACCUCGCGCGAUCGGAGCGGCCGAUAUCAGAUUAGGUAGUUGGUGGGGUAAAGGCUCACCAAGCCGACGAUCUGUAGCUGGUCUGAGAGGACGACCAGCCACACUGGGACUGAGACACGGCCCAGACUCCUACGGGAGGCAGCAGUGGGGAAUUUUGGACAAUGGGCGCAAGCCUGAUCCAGCCAUGCCGCGUGCAGGAUGAAGGCCUUCGGGUUGUAAACUGCUUUUGUACGGAACGAAAAGGUUUGGCCUAAUAAGCUGAGCUCAUGACGGUACCGUAAGAAUAAGCACCGGCUAACUACGUGCCAGCAGCCGCGGCAAUACGUAGGGUGCGAGCGUUAAUCGGAAUUACUGGGCGUAAAGCGUGCGCAGGCGGUUAUGUAAGACAGAUGUGAAAUCCCCGGGCUCAACCUGGGAACUGCAUUAGUGACUGCAUAGCUGGAGUACGGCAGAGGGGGAUGGAAUUCCGCGUGUAGCAGUGAAAUGCGUAGAUAUGCGGAGGAACACCGAUGGCGAAGGCAAUCCCCUGGGCCUGUACUGACGCUCAU
rnacentral:rRNA from 1 species